rnacentral:rRNA from 1 species
CACGUAGGGUGCGAGCGUUGUCCGGAAUUAUUGGGCGUAAAGAGCUCGUAGGCGGUUUGUCGCGUCUGCCGUGAAAGUCCGGGGCUCAACUCCGGAUCUGCGGUGGGUACGGGCAGACUAGAGUGAUGUAGGGGAGACUGGAAUUCCUGGUGUAGCGGUGAAAUGCGCAGAUAUCAGGAGGAACACCUAUUGCGAAGGCAGCUCGCUGGGACGUUACUGACGCUAAGGCGCGAAAGCGUGGGAGCGAACAGG